AAAUUGAAGAGUUUGAUCAUGGCUCAGAUUGAACGCUGGCGGCAGGCCUAACACAUGCAAGUCGAACGGUAACAGGAAGCAGCUUGCUGCUUUGCUGACGAGUGGCGGACGGGUGAGUAAUGUCUGGGAAACUGCCUGAUGGAGGGGGAUAACUACUGGAAACGGUGGCUAAUACCGCAUAACGUCGCAAGACCAAAGAGGGGGACCUUCGGGCCUCUUGCCAUCAGAUGUGCCCAGAUGGGAUUAGCUUGUUGGUGAGGUAACGGCUCACCAAGGCGACGAUCCCUAGCUGGUCUGAGAGGAUGACCAGGCACACUGGAACUGAGACACGG
rnacentral:rRNA from 1 species